CCAUCGGUGGUUCAGUGGUAGAAUCCUCGCCUGCCACGCGGGCGGCCUGGGUUCGAUUCCCGGCCGAUGCA
rnacentral:tRNA from 1 species